GACGAACGCUGGCGGCGUGCUUAACACAUGCAAGUCGAACGGAAAGGCCCUGCUUUUGUGGCGUGCUCGAUUGCCGAACGGGUGAGUAACACGUGAGUAACCUGCCCUUGACUUUGGGAUAACUUCAGGAAACUGGGGCUAAUACCGGAUAGGAGCUCCUGCUGCAUGGUGGUGGUUGGAAAGUUUCGGCGGUUGGGGAUGGACUCGCGGCUUAUCAGCUUGUUUGUGGGGUAGUGGCUUACCAAGGCUUUGACGGGUAGCCUGCCUGAGAGGGUUACCGGCCACAUUGGGACUGAGAUACGGACCAGACUCCUACGGGAGGCAGCAGUGGGAAAUAUUACACAAUGGGCGGAAGCCUGAUGCAGCAACGCCGCGUGCGGGAUAACGGCCUUCGGGUUAUAAACCGCUUUCGCCUGUGACGAAGCGUGAGUGACGGUAAUGGAUAAAGAAGCACCGGCUAACUACGUG
rnacentral:rRNA from 1 species